UGGGGAAUCUUGCACAAUGGGCGAAAGCCUGAUGCAGCGACGCCGCGUGCGGGAUGAAGGCCUUCGGGUUGUAAACCGCUUUCAGCAGGGAAGAGGCCGCAAGGUGACGGUACCUGCAGAAGAAGCGCCGGCUAACUACGGGCCAGCAGCCGCGGUAAUACGUAGGGGGCAAGCGGUAACCGGAUUCAUUGGGCGUAAAGCGCGCGUAGGCGGUUUGUUAGGUCAGGAGUUAAAUCUGGGGGCUCAACCCCUAUCCGCUCCUGAUACCGGCAGGCUUGAGUCUGGUAGGGGAAGGCGGAAUUCCAAGUGUAGCGGUGAAAUGCGCAGAUAUUUGGAAGAACACCGGUGGCGAAGGCGGCCUUCUGGGCCACGACUGACGCUGAGGCGCGAAAGCUAGGGGAGCGAACAGG
rnacentral:rRNA from 1 species